UACAACAUCGCAGGUCUAACCACGGCUCUGUAGAAUUUCCCCUUGAGUUUGUGUGGAAUUUUCUUGUCACACAGGACCCCUGAAGCAAGCCUCCACUUUUACCAUCCCGCUCCUAUCCGAUGGGUGACGUCCCCGUCAAUCUCUCCGUCCCCCUGAAUCAGAGACCCAAGAUAUCUGACACUGUCCCUCAUGGCGAUGAC
rnacentral:lncRNA from 1 species